rnacentral:rRNA from 1 species
GACGAACGCUGGCGGCGUGCUUAACACAUGCAAGUCGAACGGUAAGGCCCCAGCUUGCUGGGGUACACGAGUGGCGAACGGGUGAGUAACACGUGGGUGACCUGCCCCGCACUUCGGGAUAAGCCUGGGAAACUGGGUCUAAUACCGGAUAGGACCGCACCGUGAGGGUGUGGUGGAAAGUUUUUCGGUGUGGGAUGGGCCCGCGGCCUAUCAGCUUGUUGGUGGGGUAAUGGCCUACCAAGGCGGCGACGGGUAGCCGGCCUGAGAGGGUGGACGGCCACAUUGGGACUGAGACACGGCCCAGACUCCUACGGGAGGCAGCAGUAGGGAAUAUUGCACAAUGGGCGGAAGCCUGAUGCAGCGACGCCGCGUGGGGGAUGACGGCCUUCGGGUUGUAAACUCCUUUCACCAUCGACGAAGGUUUUCUGACGGUAGAUGGAGAAGAAGCACCGGCUAACUACGUG